rnacentral:rRNA from 1 species
CUACGGAGGGUGCAAGCGUUAAUCGGAAUUACUGGGCGUAAAGCGCGCGUAGGCGGUUUGGUAAGUCGGAUGUGAAAGCCCCGGGCUCAACCUGGGAAUUGCAUUCGAUACUGUCAGGCUAGAGUAUGGUAGAGGGAAGCGGAAUUCCAGGUGUAGCGGUGAAAUGCGUAGAUAUCUGGAGGAACAUCAGUGGCGAAGGCGGCUUCCUGGAUCAAUACUGACGCUGAGGUGCGAAAGCGUGGGGAGCAAACAGGAUUAGAUACCCCGGUAGUCC